UAGAUACCGUCACCCCGCCUAUUUCUGCCGUCAAGCAGCGUUUCGGUUUGAAGGGUGGGGCAGCCGUUGUAACUAUACUGAGACCUUAGAACUUAUAUGUCAAGGUGAGUGGCGCAUUUACAUUGUAGAUGUCUAUGGGCUCCAGUUACCACUUAACACCAAGUGGGCUGUGAGCUCGUCCACCCAUCUAAGCAAUAAAAAAAAUAAAAAAACGCAACACUCAUGCCUUUGUGCCAGAAAAAAGCAGGAUGGUGAUAUAUACCCGUGUAGCGGCAGCUAUUGUAUAUUAGACUAAAAGAUAUCUGAUAAUUUCCUGAAUCGCGCUAACGACAUUUUCUUAAGCUUGCAGGUAUUCAAGUUCGGAACAGUAGCAUUGGGACUGUCGGCCCACUGUGCAACUUCACCCGCUCUUCCCGUUGUCACUUACAGCAAACCCGGCAGAAAUUUGAACACUGUUUUUUUCAAACAUCAACACAAAGCCUGAACGAACCAUUUCACUUCACGUGAAGUGAAACCUGUAUGUAUAGUACAACGGCUGCCCAACCCUUCGAACCGAAACGCAAUACUGCUUCACGGUAAAUUUCUGCCGUAGGUGAUGGUACCUACCCGUGCGGACUCACAAGGUCCUACCAUCAGUAAUUACGCAAAUUAUAAUUUUGCGGGUUUAAUUUUAUUACACGAUGUUAUUCGUUCACCGUGGAAGCCAAUCGUGAACAUUUGAUGGGUGCCGACAUUCAAGUUAUGACGACUAUAACCACUUAACACCAGGCGGACCACGACUUAGACGAACGAUGUACUUUAGUAAAAAAUGGAUGAAGAUGAAAUUCGGAGGAAGCAAGGAAAAAUCUUUUGAUCUAAAAAUCAAUUUCCAGUUGCAAGAACAGUUCCGAUGGUUACUGAUAUAUUUUAACGUAUUUUCUCUUACGAUCUUGCUCUAUAUAGAUUAGGGUCGUCGGAAUUAUCUGAAAUAUGUUUUUGUUAUUGUAUUUUCGGAGUUGUACAAACAUUUGUCGAUUUUACUUAAAAACGCUUACCCUUUAAUUUUAUUCGUUAACAUUUUCCCAAUACUUUGGUGACUAUGGACACAGAAAGAUUUAGAAUAAGAAACACUUCAACUGACCCCUAAAAUUAUAUUAUUUUAACUGAAGCUCUCUUGUUAUGGAAAUUUAGUAAAAACUACUAUUUUAUUAUAGUAUUAAUAUAUACAUAGAGGUGUGCAAAGAUUCGCAACACGUAUAAUAAAUAUUUAGUUAACGAAUUUCGUUACAUUGUCUGUCUCAUUAAUGAAAUAAUAUGAUAAUGCACCCUGAAUAUUUUUUAAGCUUCAGCGAAAUCGAUGCUUUGCCAUGGAAAUAGGAAAGUAGGAGGUGUUCCCAUCCGCGUAGGCUCCGUACACAAAGAGAACUCAAUUUCAAUUUACUUUGUCGGCUGUCUUUCUAGGAACAGAAGACCCAAGUAAUUUAUGUUCGUGAAUUUGUAUGCAAUUUCCCCCGGAUGUGGGAGAUUACAUCGCUAAAGCAAUAAGCGUGGUGAAUGGUCGGUCGGUACUAACUCGCUUAGGUUGGAACAAAGUUUUUGAUGAGUCUUGUGGUUACUUGUUUAAAUUAUGUUUUUAUUGCACGGUCCUCCAGAUACCGAAUUGCAUUAACUGUUUUGCCUCUAUUUUGUGUAUUAAUCUGAUAAAAUCGCUAGAAGUUUUUCGUCAUUGUUAAGAAAAAGUAAUUUGGCUUGGCCGGAUUUGUUAGCUAAGUGACGAUAUCAAAAUACUUUAUGAUGAGAUAGAUAUUAAUAGCACACGAUUCGUCUCUAAGGGAGAGUAAUGACCUUCUCGAUUUCCUAAUUCAUCCCACACAAAAACAACAACAUUUCUUAUAUUAAAUGAAACUGAUUUUCUCUGGUAAUGGUAUUUAUUAUAUUGCUAUUAUAAUAAUAUGUUGAACGUGUGUGUUUGUUUUUUUUUAACUAGAUCAAAAUCGCUUUGGCUUUAGUUCUAGGGAGUAAUUACAUUUCCAUUUUUUUAGCGAUAUUCCUAAAUCCUUGACUUAUGUUAACUAUUUAAGUAUACUAGAGGUCCCGCAGUGACGGGGGAUCCGGGGAGACUGCGCGUGGGCUGGAUAGCGGCCCACGUGCGUCUCCAAGAACCACGUGCCUGGCGAUGCCUCCGAUGCUUCAGCGCGGGGCACGGCCUCGCUAGGUGCACCAGCUCGGUUGACCGCAGCGGUCUGUGCUUCCGUUGCGGCCAACCGGGCCACAAAGCGGCGUCCUGCACGGCCGCCCCGCACUGCGCUCUGUGCGCUGCGGCCGGGCGCAGGGCAAACCACCGGGCGGGAGGCAAGGCGUGUUUCCCGUCCGGUGAUAACACCGAACGAAACCGGCGCCGGAAAUCAAAGCGCCGGCAAAAGAGAAGGUUGGCCAGAGGAGCACUGGUCAACGUUGUAAUCCCCGUUGCGGCGCCGGUGCCGGAGAGCGGGGGCAGCGGUGAAGGGGAGGGGGCGAUGGAUGUGGUCCAACAGUAAUGGACCGCACCUAUCGCUUCCUCCAAGGAAACCUUAACCACUCCGCCAGAGCUCAGGACAUGCUGUCUCAGAGCAUGGCGGAGUGGUCCAUAGAUGUGGCUGUGGUCGCCGAGCCGUACUUCGUUCCCCCGGCAAAUGAUUGCUGGUUUGGGGACGAUGGCGGCCUGGCGGCCAUAGUCAUAAGAAGAGACGCGGCGAUCCCCCCCUGGCGAUGGUGACCAGGGGCCAAGGGUUCGUCGCAGUGCAGCUGGAAGGGACCGUCGUGAUCGGGGCAUACUUCUCUCCGAACAGGCCUACCGUCGAGUUCGGGCAUUUCCUGGGCAGGAUCGGGGCGAUUGCUCGCCGCCUCGCUCCUCGUCCAGUGAUUCUCGCGGGGUACCUCAAUGCGAAGUCUGUCGCAUGGGGCUCCCCCCGCUCGGACGCUCGGGGUAGGCUACUGGAGAGGUGGGCGAACGCGGCCGGCCUCUGUUUGUUGAAUAGAGGGUCGGUUGCGACGUGCGUGCGGUGGCAGGGCGAGUUCAUUGUGGACGUUACUUUUGCGAGCCCGGCCAUCGCGCGCCGUAUCCGCGACUGGAGGGUUUUGGAGGGGGCGGAGACGCUGUCAGAUCACCGAUAUAUUCGGUUUGAUCUCUCCGCCCGCUCCGCAGUCGCGGACGCUUACGGUGACUACCCACAUGGUGCGCCCCGGUCAUUCCCCAGGUGGGCAUUGAAGCGCCUGAAUAAGGCGCUACUGAUGGAAGCCUCUACGGUGGCGGCGUGGACGCCCAUGCGUCCAUAUCCGGUUGAGGUCGAGCGCGAAGCGGGGUGGUUCCGGGACACGAUGUGACGCAUCUGCGACGUAUCGAUGCCCCGGAUCAGCCCUCGGCCUCCCAAUCGCCAGGUGUACUGGUGGUCGCCCGAAAUCGCGCAACUCCGCGUGGAGUGCGUUCGGGCGAGGCGCGAGUGCGCCAGGCAUCGCCGCCGUCGCUUGCCGCGGUGCAACGAUCCGGUUGUGUUCGCGGUGGUGGAGGCCCGGCUGUACGGCACAUUUCGCGUCGCGCAGAGGGCUUUGUAGCUGGCCAUCAGAAAAGCCAAGAACCAACACAUGGAGGGUCUCUUGGAGACGCUGGAUGAGGAUCCGUGGGGGCGACCCUAUCAUAUGGUGCACAAUAAAAUGCGCCCAUGGGCCCCCCCAAUCACGGAGCGUCUCCAGCCACAGCAGUUGCGGACAUCGUCUCGGCGCUGUUCCCGCAGGAGCGGGAGGGAUUUAUCGCUCCCGCUAUGGACGUCCCGUCGGAAAACGGCGGCGACGCCUCUGCUGAGGUGCCCCAUAUAACGGGGGCGGAGCUCCAUGUGGCCGUGCGUAAAAUGUGCGCGAAGGACACUGCGCCCGGUCCGGACGGCGUCCAUGGCCGGGUUUGGGCCUUGGCUCUUGGUGCCCUGGGGGACCGACUCUUGAGGCUUUACAACUCCUGCCUCGAGUCGGGACGGUUUCCUUCAUCGUGGAGGACGGGCAGACUCGUGCUGUUGAGAAAGGAGGGGCGCCCGGCGGAUACUGCCGCCGGGUACCGUCCCAUCGUGUUGCUGGAUGAGGUGGGCAAGCUGCUGGAACGCAUUCUGGCGGUCCGCAUCAUUCAGCAUCUGGUCGGGGUGGGUCGAGGCGGAUCUCGCCCAAGCCCUGGCCCUCUAAGUGUUUCGGGUCUCCCUCACAUGUCGGCCUGGGGACCGAGGAAGGGGGCCUAAGAAGACGACGUGCAAGCUGCUCUGCACGCGUUUUAUGCAUGAGCAUCCGGGCGAUGGAAGGCCGGCUAUCCUCAACCCACGCUGGUUCUGACCCAGUGGGGUAUUCCGUAGGAUAGACCAUUCUAACCGGCGCCAUCUAGGCGGGCUUCGGAUAGCCUGCCGACCGAGAGGUCUGGUGGUCGUGGCGCCGACGACCGCCAGUCCGGCGUCCCGAGGGGGAGGGUGAUGGGAGAGAUGUGCUCCGCACUAAACGCUUCACUUUCCCCCCUUGCCUUUUCAUGAGUUUUGUCUCAUGCGAGGUUUGGACGUUGGUUGUUGAGAGACAGGAGGUUUUAGUCGGUUCGACUCCGACAUGCCCCGCCUUCCAUCCCCAGUGAAGGGCGGAAGAAAAAAAAAAAAAAAAAAAAACGCAGUAUAAUUGACCGCAGACUAUAAUUAAUUGGAAUUGUAAGUGUAAGUGUAUUCUCAAUUUGACAACAGACGUCAAGAACAAAAGUUUGACAAUAAAUAGUAUGCAUGCGUGUGUGCGUCAAAUACAUGGUAUGUAGUGUGUGUAAUGUUUUCUUUAUUGAUUUAAAGUAUCUUUUAUGCAUUAUUUAAAAAAAAUAUUAGCAUUGUGCACUUCUUCUCUAUAUUCUCUAUAAGUGUGGAAAAUUUCAUACUCCUCCGUCCGCGCAAUUUUCGUAAAAAGGGAUACAAAGUUUUUGCUUCACGUAUUAAUAUAUAGAUAUCCUAUAUUGUCCUAAAUAGACAACUGUAAUAAUAAAAACGCUUUCGGUUCACGCUAAAUAUCAGUUUUGUUACUCGUUCUGACCUCUGUUGCACUGUGUACCUACUAAUACACAAAACUAAUAUUUCGUAAUAGGUAAAAAUCGUUGUGUAUAAUGAUAGAUAGAUAGGCAUAUAAAAUACUGUUACAUCAGACACAAGAUACAGCGAAUUUGUGUCUACAGAUAACGUGACAAUGUGCGAUCUUUUUUGGUAAUAAAAUUUUCUUUGAGACAUCCCUGAGAUGGAAAGCAUUACCCGAAAAGUAGACCUGAAAGGAGGUGGAUACUCAUAUAAAUGAAUAACAUCUUCCAUCAAAUAGAUGUAUUGUUACGCGCUGGGGUUCGGGAUAAAUAAAAUUCUACCGAAGUACAAAUUAAAAACUAUAUUCAACACUUAGAACACUUAAAACACUUUGAAAUUCUCGAUUCGCUUCUUCCGCUUCGCUUCAGGUGACCCGUUCGCUGUUUCGCUUCGAGUAGUUCCGAUUACUGACUGACUGCGUGCCAUCUCUGCAACGCUGUUAUAGCCGAUACCACAUCCCUAGAAUUAUCGAGAAUAUUACACACAUUACGAAUAUUGUGUUUCCGCUAUCUGACAAUAAAUGGCGUUGUACUUCUCGAGCGUUCUAGGUCCUUCGAUAUACGUUCGACUAUUCGGCGAUAGAUGGCGUUACUACUUUCAUAAAUCUUGUAUAAUUAAUUUCUUUUAUAGGAAAUUCUAAAUGAGUUUACAGUUUCGAAUUUGUAAAUGAUUUUUGUCAUAUAAAAAUCAUUCUAGUUCUGUGCAACGAAAUUUAUACGAACACGUAGUAUGAUUUCGUGUAUAAGCGUGACUUGGCGCGAUCAAUCCCUCUUAUGAUCGGAAGGGAGCAUUUGUCAAGGGUUGUUUGAGGAGUCUCAGAAAGAAUUAUGGAACUCGACAAUAUAAAUGCACACUGCGAACUGAGAAACUUAUUCGGCUUUAGUGUACCAUUUCAAAAAUUAGUGUUUUUUGCACUAGAUAAAUUAUUUCAAAUUAAUAAUUUAUAUUAUUACAAUGUUGAAAAAAUCAGAUUUGCUUAUUCAAAUAAUAGUCAUAUUAUUACAAAACAGGAUAAUAGAGCAUAAUUUUGUACAAAAAAAUAAUUUAAAUUAUGUAGUAUUUUCAAGAUAUGUAUGUACCAUGUACAUAAUAUGUAUUAUAGUAAUAAAAUGAAAAUACAUUUAA